ACGACCUUACUUGAACAGGAUCUGUUCUAUAGGCUCGUACUACUGUGUCCUUGAUUUCUAAGGAGACAGGAACAUAAGUCUGGUGGAUGAAUCACGACCGUGUGAUCAGAGCGUGAUUAACGGCCCAGAUGAUCCGCAUGUUGUGGUCUCAUCCAAGCUGUAGAUGAUCGUUCUCGGUUGAGUCUAUCAACUGGGGUGGCCACACGGUGUUCUGACAGACU